rnacentral:lncRNA from 1 species
GAGGGGCGAGGCGCCUCCGACGCCUUGGUUUCGGUCGUCUGGUCUCCAGAGCUGGGAGACCGUACAUUUCUGUGGUUUGAAAUCACCUGGUUUGUGGCCGUGCCUUUCGGCAGCCGGAGGAAACUCACGCAUCCACUCAUUAGGGCCGUUUGGAUCGUCUCCACCCGUUGGCUGUUGUGAGUCAUGCCGCUGUGACCGGUCCUGGACAGGUUUCUGUGUGGAUAUUUGCUUUCAAUUCUCUUGGCUCUGUACUUCGCAGGGGAACUGCUGAGUCAUAUGGUUACUCUGUAUUUAAUUCUGUGUGUGUGUGUGUGUGUGUGUGUGUGUGUGUGUGUGUGAAAAAUGCACGUAACAUGAAAUCUCUCAUUUUAACCAUUUUAAAGUGUAGGAUUCAGGGGCACUAAGGAAUCUGCAAAUUGUGCAACCAUCGCCAUGAUCUAGGUCCAGAACUUUCCCCCCAUAAACUGAAACCCUGUAACUAAUCCCCCUCCCCCCUCCCCCAGCCCCUGAAAAUCACUAGGCGGCUUUCUGUCCCUAUGGAUUUGCCAUCCCUAGUAUCUCAUCUAAACGGAGUUAGACCAUAUGCGUCCUCUCGUGUCUCGUCCUCUCGUGUGUGGCUUCCUUCACUUCCACCUUCCAGUUCAGCCACGUUCUGGCCUGUGGCAGUACUUCCUUCCUUCUGUGGAGGAGUGGUAGCUUUGAGAGAGAGAGACAGAGCACGCGUAGGGGAGGCGUAGAGAGAGAGCGAGGCACAGAAUCCGAAGCAGCCUCCAGGCUCCCAGCUGUCAGCACAGAGCCCGACGCGGGGCUCGAACUCACAGACCGCGAGAUCGUGACCUGAGCGUGACCUGAGCCGAAGCCGGACGCUUAACCGACUGAGCCCCCCAGGCGCCCCAAGGGGUCUGUUGUUUAUAAGCCACCCAGGCUGUGGAACUUUGUUGCAGCAGCCGGAACAGACUGAGACAGUUUUGCCCCGUUUUAGAACAUAACUGGGCUCCCGUGCUCAGCAUAGCGUCUCCCAGACUCCCAGAUACUAUGUUGCCGGAGACGGGACUUGUGUUACUAUGUUGCCGGAGACGGGACUUGUUUCUUCUCACUGCUGUACCAGGUUCCAUCACCAGAACAGACCACAAGCGACCACCCACUCACUGUCGGGGGACAUCCGGGUGGUGUCCAGCUUUUGCCUGUCACAGAUAAGGUCACAGGGGACAUUCUGGAACGCGUCUUCGGGUGCGUCCGGGCUCUUGUUUGUCUUGGGGGACGUCAUGGGGCAGGUACGUAGCUCUAGCAGGUGCUGGCAGAUGUAUUUCCGAGGUAGGCGUACCAUGUGGUGCUCCGGUGUAAAGGGGGAGACUUUGCUUUUGCCCAGCCUCUUAUGGAGUUGCAGUUUUUCUUUGCAUUUCUUCGAUGGGUAACAAUGUGCAACAACUCCUGGGGCACCUGGGGAGCUCCGUCGGGUAAGCAUCCGACUUCGGCUCAGGUCAUGAUCGCCUGUGAGUUCGAGCCUUGCGUCGGGCUGUGUGCUGACAGCUGGGAACCUGGAGCCUGCUUCUGAUUCUGUCUCCCGCUCUCUCUCUCUCUCUCUCUCUCUGUGCCCCUCCCCACUUAUGCUCCCUCUCUCUCGCACGCUCUCAAAAUAAAUAAAUAUUAAAAAAACAUUUUAGGGAUGCCUGGGUGGCUCAGUCGGUUGAGCGUCCGACUUCGGCUCAGAUCAUGAUCUCACGGUUUCUGAGUUCAAGCCCUGCGCCGGGCUCUAUGCUGACCGCUCAGAGUCUGGAACCUGCUUUGGAUUCUGUCUCCCGCUCUCUCUCUCUCUCUCUCUCUCUCUCUGUGCCCCUCCCCACUUAUGCUCCCUCUCUCUCUCUCUGUCUCAAAAUAAAUAAAUAUUAAAAAAAUAUUUUAGGGGUGCCUGGGUGGCUCAGUGGGUUAAGCGUCCGACUUCGGCUCAGGUCACGGUCUCGUGGUCUGUGGGUUCGAGUCCCGUGUCGGGCUCUGUGCUGACAGCUCAGAGCCUGGAGCCUGUUUCAGACUGUGUCUCCCUCUCUCUCUGCCCCUUCCCCGCUCAUGCUUGCUCUCUCUCUCUCUCUCACUCUCUCUCUCAAAAUAUAAAUAAACAUUAAAAAAAAUAACGUGGGACACCUUUUCAUAUUCCAACUUCCCACUUAAUGCUAUGUUUGAACAGCACUCACUAUAAUCCUGAAAGGUUGGCAUUCUUGUGUCGUUGGUCGGAUGGGGACAUUUGGAGGGCAGAAGGGGCCGGCGGCUUGCCUGAAGAGGAACAGCUGGUACAUGGUGGAUCCCGGAUAAACUCGGGUGACAGGGCGUGAGCUCCUACCCGCUGAACUGCAGAGAAGCCUUGUCCUAGGACGGGAACGAGCUCUUCUCCCUCUCGAACUGGAGGAAGACGGGCAGAACUCAGAUCAGCCCUUUAUUUAUUUUCUUCAGAUCAGCACGUGAAUCACUGGAGCCUGGCAACACACGGGUUAAGAAGGCUCUUUGGGGAACAGGCUUUGCUCUCCCCCGCGUCAGCCCCUGCUGUUAUUUUUACGGGAAAGCACGUUCUGAGUUCCAAGCCCGGACGCCAGAGGGAGGCCCGGUGCAUGGCCCGUGGGAGCCAGUCUGUGUUCCCAACGAAAACAUCACGACUUGAGUAAUAGCGAGUCCUGGAAAUGAUGCCGGCCGCUUCCAAGCUUGUUGCCAGCCACUUGCUGGCCUUUGCAGAAACCCGAGACGCAGGCAUGUGUGUAGGGGAGGCGGGAGGCGGGAGUCCCCGCCAAGGAGUCUCAGGUUGCGCAUUCUCCACGACGCUAGAAUCCAUUUUCCCCUCCCGUCUCGGUCAGGCUGCCCUGGAGCAAACCUGGAGACGGAGAUUGGUGUGCAAGCUGUCCUCUGAGGUCACGGUCCCAGGGUGGUCUGCAAGGAGGGGAGGAGACCAAGAAGCCAAGGGGGGACGGGGUUUUCUUCGGCAAAGUCUCCCCGAGGGUUUGUCCAGGCUCGGGCGGAGGAGCUGGGCCUUCAUAUCCAAGUACCUGCGUGUCAGUGACCAAGGGUUCACCUGGGGACAGAAGCCCCGGGCAGCUCUCAGCAUCCGCGUGUGCACGCGAAGUAACUGCAGGUGCGCGCCGUGCGAAGCAAAGCACCCCAAAGACCAAGGAGGCCGGAAAGAAUCACAAGGCUUCGGGGGAGCUCCCAGAGCACACUGGGGGCCGCCCGUCUUGCUGGACUCACACCAAUCAAUCUCAUCGGGCUCCAACCGUGUGAUAAGUUUUCAGUGAGGUGCAGAUACCUUGUAACGUUUUCGUUGCUUCCAGAAAACAAGAGGCCAGUGAUACUUGCCAAUGGCAAAUGCCAGAAACAAUGUGAGCCGCAGCCAGAGGCAAGGAUUCCUGCUCACCAAUCCGGGAGGUCAGCCUGUUGACACAGCCGAUCCAAGGAAGCUGGCCUCCUUCUGCAACCACACACCGUCUGUGAUUCCCGGCAACCCGGGAAAGAACGUUACUCCCAGAGGCUGGGACGGCGGCCCGGCGGUUUUCCCUCCCCGUCUCCUCCGAAGCCUUUCCCUGCCCGGCGACGCGUGGGACCAUCUACCGUGACACUGUUGAUCGAAACUCAGCAUGCUGAUGGAAAAGUGCAAACGCGUGAGUGUGUACAGACGGGUGGAUUUUCCCAACGUGAACUCAUCCAUGUGACCCCCUCCCAGGAGCCCCUCAGGACGUCGGGAGAUCCCCCGGGCGCCCUUUCGCUCCCCUCCCUCCGCCCCCUCCUUCCCAGGGAAGGUGCCAUCCCGACGUCCGACCCCAGAGGCUAGCUCUGCCCGCCACGGACAUUCUAUACGAGUGACAUCACGCGGGCGUGCUCUUCCGCGGCCGGAUUCGUUCACGCAGCCCCACCUUUGUGAGGUUCGUCUGUAUGACCGUUUGCAACGGCGGUUUGCUCUUGUUCCAUCGUCGUCUACUGUGCCGCACCUUCUGGAUCCUUCCCGUCGCUGACGGGCAUCAGAGCUCGCUCCCGUUGGGGCCGUUGGAAACGGUGUGCCUGUGAGUGUUCUAGAACGUGCUUCUGGGUGCGCGGAUGUGUGCAUACUGUUGGGCGCACACCCAGGGGGAUGCCUGGCUGUCCGGUAUUUGCACGUUCAGCUUGAUGAGGUGCAGCCUGUUUGCAAAGUGCACUGAUUUACACGCUCGGAAAAGUGCAGCCGUUCUGGGGCCUUGCACCACCUCGCCAGCACUUGGUAUUUGGAACUUCCGUUUUGCUUGCCACCCGGUCAUAAUGCAGGGAAUGGUACACGUUGAUAUUCUCCACCCUUACGACUGCGGCUGGUUUUUAUAACAUCUUUGUGGGAAUCGGAAAAGGACCCUCCUGCCUUAAGACCCUUCCGCCGGAUGAAAAUGUGAUGAAAGCUGGUUUUGUCAGAGCAUGGCAUGUGACUGCCCUCUGCUGGAAGACUGCUGAAAUUCAUAGUACAGAGCCUGGAUGCCGGCGAUGGAAAUGGCAGCCUCUUAGGUGUGGUAGCCUUGGGCAGUGCACACCCUGGACAACCACACAUGGUGACCCUGCCACUCUUCACUCUCGUUCACACACACUGGAGGUGACGGUCAGGACUGGGCAGAGGCGGCCCAAUGAAAGCUCACAGAAUGAUGGCCCGGGGACUGAACCUGGUCUGCUGUUUUUAUUCGACCCGCAGAGGGGGAAAAAAAAAUGGAGCUAAUAUUUUAAAAUUUGGCAGAUUGUGUCUAAUGAUCUGGAAAAAUCUGAGAAAUCAGAGAAAGUAGAGAAACUGGGCCCUCACUCCCAAAUUAUAACACAGAGGCUGCUCUCCAUGUGUCUCCAGUUAGCCUUCGUCUCCGCCAAGCCCGAUUGUCCCUCAAGCCUUAGUCAAUGGCUAUAGCGAAAUGAAACUAUGCUAAUGCAGCGUCAGAUGCCUUCCCCAAGUGUCUUCCCUUAUGUAUCAGCAGUCUUCACUGCUGCUGGAGGCCUAUAAAUUUGUGACCACUGGUCUUGACACUGAUGAAAAAAACCCCACCCCAAGCUGAUCCUUAGAUCCUAAGAUCAAGUAACCCCUAUAUUCUUUGUGCUCUAGUGAAAAUCCCAUCGGACAAGGUUUCGGUGGAAUCAUAGGGUCGAAGGGCUGGAGUUUGCCGGCCCCAACCCCUGCCCCAAGGGGUUGGUGCUUCACCAGCUGGUGGCCCAGGAAGGGGGGAGGUGGGGGAAUGUGGCGGGAGGGCUGGGUGAGCAGGUGAGGGUGAGGGGGCUGCAUCUAGAACUUGCCCGGAGGGAAUCCGGUGUCCCAGGGAUCGGGGCUGGGACAGUGUAGCAGCCUGACAGUUAUGGGGCUGAGACAGAGUUGACAAUUUUGAGGGAGAGAGAGAGAAAGAGAGAGAUAGUGUGGGGGAGGGGCAGAGAGAGAGGGAGACACAGAAUCCGAAGCAGGCUCCAGGCUCUGAGCCGUCAGCACAGAGCCUGACGCGGGGCUCGAACUCAUGAGCUGUGAGAUCGUGACCUGAGCCGAAGUCAGAUGCUGAACCGACUGAGCCACCCGGGCGCCCCAUUAUUGGGCACUAACUGUGUUCCAGGAACUGCGUCACGUCAGGUAGCCUUCACAACGAUGCUGUCUGCCCUACUGUGUGUCCUCCGAUAAGCCCUGUUUUGUAGACAAACCGAAGCCCGGGGCCCAGAUCACACUCAGGGGUGGCGGGAGGGCGGGUUUGAACCCAGACCUUCCUGAUUGUGGGGCUCCAGCUUCAGACGCCUUUUCUCUUCUGCUCAGAGAGUGUCUGAUUUAGAAGCAGAACCUCUUAACUUGUGGCACCAGGUGGAAUCGAGGUGGGAAGACAGAACUUUGUAAUAAUCACAGAUGUGUUGGUCUGGUUUUGCUGCUCUCUGGGAGAUGUGAGUCCUUUUGAUUUUCGAUGUCACGAACUCUGAGCGCCCACAGGCUGAAAACCACUGAUGUCCUACCUUAUCUUUCUCUUGCAGGGCCUCCCAGAGUGACCUGACGCUUUGCACAAGGUCACACGUCCCGUCUGUGCCACAACCGGAAUCGGGAGCCCGGGUCCUGACUCACUGAUUCUUCUCCACCCGACGUGCAGUCUGAGUUUCCAAAUCCGGCAGGCAUCAGAGCACGCUGCUCUUUAGAAAGAUGAGCCAAUUUACAUUCUUCACCGGCAGGCCGCGGGCUGCCCCCUCUCCUGGAGAGGUCUUUUUCAAACUGACAUCUGUCAGCAGCCUUGAUCCGUGCGUGGCUUUUUCCAAGCGGUGGUCCUGCUCGGGGACCUCAGCUCAACUUUGAUUCCAGCCGCGGCACACGGGCAGCCCCUCCCGGCUCCAGUAAGAUGGGUCGUGCCCUGGCUGCGAGGGACAGCGUGGGGGCAACCGGGCCCGCGUUGUGCCCUUGCAGGGGUGGGGGAAGGCUCCCAUGAGAUGCGGGCACGCAAGUGUUUGGAAGAAUCAUGCGAUGUUGGGCAAAGGCAGAGUGUUAGGGUUGCGGUGGGUGGGGGAGCGGGCCGGAGGAGGAGGCAGAUGGGCGGGUGCUGUGUCCUCUUCUGGAGUCGGGCCCAGAGCCCAGGGCUCCCCUCCCUUCCCUCUGACAGUGCAGGGCUCGCCAGGUUCUGUGCCAGCAAUCGAGGGAGCGCCGGAGCUCUCUGACGCUGUGGCUCGGCACCGGAGCCUUCCUUUGGAGACAUCUGCCAGCGAGAUUGGAGCAGAGCUUCUUUGAGGCCACGAAGAGGUGAUUGUUUUGCAUUGUGUAGGAGGAGCCAUCCAGGGAAGGAGAAAUUUCCCUCCGAGAAAUUCAGGAGGCGAUGCCGGAGUCCUGUCAGUUCCACGACUCACGGAGCGGGGUCUUCGCCUUUGUAGGGAGGGGUGCGGGGGAUGGGCAGGGGGCCGUGACGUGUGCGGGGUCCUUCCUUAGCGGGCAGAAGUCAAAA